GCCCGCAUGACCUAGGCUAAAAUGGGUCGUGACACUAAAAUACCAAAAAGAUGUACUAAACCAUUCACAUUACUUUUGGAGACCUAAAGCCGCAUCAGUUUCCUGCCACAAAAUAAAUCAUUUCCAUUAAUGAGGAAGUCCAAAAGUUUCAUUAAAUUUUGUGUUGACUUGUGAGGUAAAUAUAACAAUAUUAACGGAGAGGAAACCUUGUGAGCAAGGAAUCACAUCUUGUCGGAAGGUUUAGGGAAGGUGAAAGCUACAACAACAACGUACCCAGUUGAAUCCCACAAAGCGAGAUAUAAGGAGGGUAGAGUGUACGCAAACCUUACUCCUACCUCGGGACUUGGGAGGUAGAGAGGUGUUACUAAAGUGUUUGAAUCCAAGCGGAUGGCGACAAGACUUCUCAUUGGCAUAAGAACAAUGAUGAAAAGAGGUAGAUCAAUGCUCCCAAGGCUGUUAUCUUUGUAAGGGUCCCCCACAAUUUCAGACACUGCCCUAACUUGGGUAGUCUCAAUGCAUUGGUCAAGGACAAGCAGCCCAAGCACCCCCUGAUGACCGAGAUGUUGCACAACUUCGCACUAUUAAGUUGUUGGGUGCACCUGUGGCCAAGAAACAGCAGUUGAAGGAAAAAGGACAACUGUCAUGGACAUGAAACUGAGUGGGCAGCCUGCUUGGUCAUGGAAUGGGACACAUCUUCAUCACUGAAGUUGAGACCAAGAGGUUUGGUCUUAGAUAAAUUCUAAGCAACACUUGGUGUCUUGGUCUAAGGCAGUGCCAACAACCUUACCAACUCCAUUGGAGUUACUCAUGGAAUGGAGCUUAGUUAGGGCCUUUGGCAUGGACAAGCAGACUUCACUAUAGCCCUUGUGGACUUGUUUGACACCAUUUUGGGGCAAGACUUUUGGGAUGAAAGUCGAUGCCUUCCUUGCCCUCAUCUUAACCAGAUUGGAAAUUGUGGCCAAGAAGGUUCUUUUUCUUAAAUUAGUAAGCAAAAGAUCUUGUCAAUAUACAAACCCAGACACCAACAUGGUGACAGGAAAAGACAACAAAUCAUAAAAACCAAUGAGGUUCUUUUGCUAUGCGAACCAUCAGUGCGCCACAGUCCAUGUUUAACUAUUAGCCGUGCAACUUCUGAAGGGUUUCAAGUAGGGUGAUGACACUUUUUCUGCCACGGUAACCAAGCUAGAAGAUGGAGAUGUCUUCUAGGCUAUGAAAGACUUGUCCUCGUGUAUGCAGCAUGUCCUAGAGGAGAACAUGUACGUGAUGCUGAAAGAUCCUCCCAAGUGUACUACUGCAUGCGUAGCGAUGUCGACCACAAAUUGAGCUCAUGCCAGAGAUAAAGCUACCUGCCAUGCCUCCUUACCACAUGGCACCUCUGGAGCUGGACAAGCUAAAGAAGAAAUAAAGUGAGAACAUGGACAUGAUGCCAAAAGAUCUUCCCAUGCUCGCUACUGCAUAGGGAUGUCGACCACAAACUGAGCUCGUGGGAUGAAGUUGCCAUGGCCUCCUUACAACAUGGCGCCUCUGGAGCUAGACAAGCUAAAGAAGCAACAUAGAACAGCUAGACAUUGACCUUCCAAAGCACUGUUAGGAGCUCUAAUCUUGUUCGAAGAGGAUGACACUUUGCGCUUAUGCAUUGACUAUCGGUCACUCAACAAAGUGACGGUAAAGAACAAAUGCCCAUUCCCUUAAUUGCUUACCAUUUUAUUGUCUUAGGCAGGCUGAAGUGUUUAGCAAAGUCAAUUGAGAAAAAGGUAGUAUCAGGUUCAUUGCCUAGGGUGACGGGCCAAAGGAGAUGUGUGUGACAUGAUUCUCCACCAGCCUCACAAAUCUAUUGCUGACCACCACCAUCACCAGCUGCUAUUGCCACUAUCUUUUAGAGUCUGCUACAUCAAACACAUAGUAUUUACAAUAUCAUAUUUUUUUUUUCUCUAAUGUAUAAUAUUUACUAAUUAUUUUAUUUAUAUUGUAUAUGUGCUAGCUUUUAAAUAAAAAUAAAUUAUAUACA